GUUAAGCGACUAAGCGUACACGGUGGAUGCCCUGGCAGUCAGAGGCGAUGAAGGACGUGCUAAUCUGCGAUAAGCGUCGGUGAGGUGAUAUGAACCGUUAUAACCGGCGAUUUCCGAAUGGGGAAACCCAGUGUGUUUCGACACACUAUCAUUAACUGAAUCCAUAGGUUAAUGAGGCGAACCGGGGGAACUGAAACAUCUAAGUACCCCGAGGAAAAGAAAUCAACCGAGAUUCCCCCAGUAGCGGCGAGCGAACGGGGAGGAGCCCAGAGCCUGAAUCAGUGUGUGUGUUAGUGGAAGCGUCUGGAAAGGCGCGCGAUACAGGGUGACAGCCCCGUACACAAAAAUGCACAUACUGUGAGCUCGAUGAGUAGGGCGGGACACGUGGUAUCCUGUCUGAAUAUGGGGGGACCAUCCUCCAAGGCUAAAUACUCCUGACUGACCGAUAGUGAACCAGUACCGUGAGGGAAAGGCGAAAAGAACCCCGGCGAGGGGAGUGAAAAAGAACCUGAAACCGUGUACGUACAAGCAGUGGGAGCCUCUUAAUGGGGUGACUGCGUACCUUUUGUAUAAUGGGUCAGCGACUUAUAUUCUGUAGCAAGGUUAACCGAAUAGGGGAGCCGAAGGGAAACCGAGUCUUAACUGGGCGUUAAGUUGCAGGGUAUAGACCCGAAACCCGGUGAUCUAGCCAUGGGCAGGUUGAAGGUUGGGUAACACUAACUGGAGGACCGAACCGACUAAUGUUGAAAAAUUAGCGGAUGACUUGUGGCUGGGGGUGAAAGGCCAAUCAAACCGGGAGAUAGCUGGUUCUCCCCGAAAGCUAUUUAGGUAGCGCCUCGUGAAUUCAUCUCCGGGGGUAGAGCACUGUUUCGGCAAGGGGGUCAUCCCGACUUACCAACCCGAUGCAAACUGCGAAUACCGGAGAAUGUUAUCACGGGAGACACACGGCGGGUGCUAACGUCCGUCGUGAAGAGGGAAACAACCCAGACCGCCAGCUAAGGUCCCAAAGUCAUGGUUAAGUGGGAAACGAUGUGGGAAGGCCCAGACAGCCAGGAUGUUGGCUUAGAAGCAGCCAUCAUUUAAAGAAAGCGUAAUAGCUCACUGGUCGAGUCGGCCUGCGCGGAAGAUGUAACGGGGCUAAACCAUGCACCGAAGCUGCGGCAGCGACGCUUAUGCGUUGUUGGGUAGGGGAGCGUUCUGUAAGCCUGUGAAGGUGGCCUGUGAGGGUUGCUGGAGGUAUCAGAAGUGCGAAUGCUGACAUAAGUAACGAUAAAGCGGGUGAAAAGCCCGCUCGCCGGAAGACCAAGGGUUCCUGUCCAACGUUAAUCGGGGCAGGGUGAGUCGACCCCUAAGGCGAGGCCGAAAGGCGUAGUCGAUGGGAAACAGGUUAAUAUUCCUGUACUUGGUGUUACUGCGAAGGGGGGACGGAGAAGGCUAUGUUGGCCGGGCGACGGUUGUCCCGGUUUAAGCGUGUAGGCUGGUUUUCCAGGCAAAUCCGGAAAAUCAAGGCUGAGGCGUGAUGACGAGGUACUACGGUGCUGAAGCAACAAAUG
rnacentral:rRNA from 1 species